AGACAGACGGAAAUAGAGAGAGAGAGAGAGAGAGAGAGAGAGAGAGGGUGCGGUUAAAAAAUGUCCGAGAAGAUUUCAUCUUCCUCCAAAGGUAAAAAUACAAACUCAUGGUUAUCCAGUGUCGCUUACAACAGACAAUCACAUUG